rnacentral:rRNA from 1 species
CUCGUUAGCGGCGGACGGGUGAGUAACGCGUGGGUGAUCUAGCCUGGUGGUGGGGGAUAACUGUCCGAAAGGGUGGCUAAUCCCGCAUGAGUUCCUUGGGGAGACCUAGGGAGGAAAGCUUCUUUUGGGGAGCGCCAUAGGGGGGGCCCGCGUCCCAUUAGGUGGUUGGUGGGGUAACGGCCUACCAAGCCUGGGAUGGGUAGCUGGUCUGAGAGGAUGGCCGGCCACACUGGGACUGAGAGACGGCCCAG